rnacentral:rRNA from 1 species
UACGUAGGGCGCGAGCGUUGUCCGGAAUUAUUGGGCGUAAAGAGCUCGUAGGCGGCCUGUUGCGUCCGCUGUGAAAUCCCAGGGCUCAACCCUGGGCGUGCAGUGGAUACGGGCAGGCUGGAGGCAGGCAGGGGGAGAACGGAAUUCCCGGUGUAGCGGUGAAAUGCGCAGAUAUCGGGAAGAACACCCGUGGCGAAGGCGACACGCUGGACCUUUUCUGACGCUGAGGCGCGAAAGCCAGGGGAGCAAACGGG